UGGUUGCUAAGAGAUUCGAACUCUUGCAUCUUACGAUAUCCGAGUGUUCACCAGUGUUUUCGAACUGGAGAAAGAUCCUGAAAAUCUUGAAUCGGACGCCUUAGACCGCUCGGCCAAACAACC
rnacentral:tRNA from 1 species